AUACUUGGCCUAUCGAAGGCAUUCUUCAUCAAAGAAGGUGGGGCUUGCAAACACCGGGUAUG
rnacentral:tRNA from 1 species